UGGGUGUCACGGCUAACUGUUGGUUAAGACAGUUUGCUGUGUUUAAACGAGGUUUUAUCACCAAAGCUGGGGAUGGGUUUUACAAUAUUUUGUCUAGGUGUCCAAACAGGAAGAGUGCUUGCCUUCGGUCUAGGACCUGUCUCCCGACUUCACUGCUUAUAGGCCAAGUUAUUCGGGGGAGCGAGGAGGACCACAACCUGGAAUAAGAACGGUGCCUGUUCCAUUAUUCUCCAUCCAUUUCCAGAGGCAACUGUUCUUGUGGUGUUUCUCAUUGAUGGUCUAGAAUGUUAGAUGAAUGCAUGGUGGUGUAUGAUUAGAGCACUUGGUGAUCUGCAUAGAAGCCUGAGAUAAGAGAGGAACAGUAACAAUAGCAACAGAAACAACAACAACAACAACAAGAGCAACAGCACAAGCAGGAACAACAGCAGCAGCAACAGCAGCAACAACAGCAGCAACA